rnacentral:rRNA from 1 species
ACCAGACUCCUACGGGAGGCAGCAGUGGGGGAUAUUGCACAAUGGGGGGAACCCUGAUGCAGCGACGCCGCGUGGGUGAAGAAGCGCCUCGGCGCGUAAAGCCCUGUCAGCAGGGAAGAAAAUGACGGUACCUGAAGAAGAAGCCCCGGCUAACUACGUGCCAGCAGCCGCGGUAAUACGUAGGGGGCAAGCGUUAUCCGGAUUUACUGGGUGUAAAGGGGGCGCAGACGGCGAUGCAAGCCAGGAGUGAAAGCCCGGGGCCCAACCCCAGGACUGCUCUUGGAACUGCGUGGCUGGAGUGCAGGAGGGGCAGGCGGAAUUCCUGGUGUAGCGGUGAAAUGCGUAGAUAUCAGGAGGAACACCGGUGGCGAAGGCGGCCUGCUGGACUGCAACUGACGUUGAGGCCCGAAAGCGUGGGGAGCAAACAGGAUUAGAUACCCGAGUA